GAUACUACUGUUGUUAAACCUACUAUUGCACUUACAAUUGAAAAAAGAGUUGGGUUAAAUGCUACUGUUGUGCAUGAUUAGGGGCAAGGUGUUGAACGUGUGAGAACUUUAAAUAAUAUAAAUGAUGCAGGUAUUAAGGCAAAGGAACAAGCUAGGCAGAUGCAAGAAACUACAAAAGAUCAACAAAAUACAUAGUUCAAGUAGGGGAGGAAAAAUCUGGGCAGUUUAUUGGGGUUACUGGGGGUGUUGAUUGCCAAGUUGCUACUGCUACUGCAUUAAAGGCUGCUGCUGAUCGACAUGUUUAUUCAAAUAAGAUUUAUAAUGUUCAACAAGUCGAUGGGGCAUAUGUGAUUCAAAUUGGUAAUGGGCGAGGGAUUUCGUUUAUCAACCAACUACUGAAAAUGCAAGUCCAAUAUCUGCAGCCCUGAAGCAAGGUUCUCUGUUUUCUGAGGGGGGAUUUACUAGUAUUCACAAUGCAGUGCGUAAUGCAACUGUUAGAGAUCGUGGAUAUGCUGAAAUGUCAAAUUUGGAGGCUACUGCAGCAUUGAAGGCAGUUGGUGAUCGAGUUGUUUAUGGGGUAGUUGAACCUACUGCUGCACAUGCCGAUUUAAUUGAAAAAUCAUUAGGUCCAAUAACAUCUUUGUCUAGCAAAAAUAAUGUUUCAGUUCACAAAACUCAAACUAGUGUAGAAAAACUCAGUGAAACACCUACAGAAGCACGUGCACAAUUCUAUGCACCUGAACAGAUUCCAUCAGCGUUUCUAUUUCAAUUUUCUGCUGUGCAGCCAGAAAAUAAUUCUAUUCUUAUGGAUGGAAGAUUUAUGGAUCGUGUAGAUGUUAUGGAAUUCGAGUAUGCAGUAUCUAACUUAGCACAAAUACUGGUUGUAAGUACGACCAAUAAUAAAGAAAACGUGGCAACAUUGAAUUGGUUAAGAAUAGUAGUGCUCGACAACAUGCUAAUGUGAACAACUUGGCGGAGGGGUUAACGGUCUGUUAAACACGAAGCUCCAACACUCCUAAUCAACAUUCUUCCAGUCCACAUGUGAAAAAAAUCAUUAAGGAAACUCAGGUUUCCAUGAUGUCGAACGCCACUCCUAUGGCCAAACAACCGUUGGUCACUUUGAAUACAUCGGCACAUGAGAUUCCUUUUCAAUCAUUGGAGUCAUUUGGUGAGUAUUGUAUUGAAUCCGAGCAGCUCCUACUAUCCAUAUGGAAUGAUUAUGAUAUAGUCAAAGAGGAUAUGAGGGAGGAGAGUAAUAUGCAAAUUUGCUGUGGGCUGAUCAAGUUGAGGAUGAAGAGGACGAUGAUGAAGUUGAUUUUGAAUAUGGUAAUGAAAAGGAAAUUGAAUGUGGCAGCCCAUUUUCAGUGGGAUCACCAACGGCACAAGCCCAUGAUAGGGCACUCUUACAUGCAUUGGACAGUCCAACACCACACAAAUUUGCACUUUCAACAGUCGCACAAUGGCUGCAAUCUUCAGGUAAGAACAACAACACAAAUAUUCAAUCUCAAGCCUCAAUUGAUAAACCUAACAUUAAAGAAGGAGUGGUCACCAGGCAACCCCCAAUGCGAGUUGCAAAGCAAAAGGGGGCAACCCCAAUCACAUCCACAAGGCCCAAUCGAUCUAAGAAGAAAUGAUGAAUUUUGAAGACAUUUUGAAGAGAUUGGAAGAAGAAGAAGCCAAAAACCUACAAAUUGAAGAGUGCACAUGCUUGAAAAAAGAGGGGCAACAAUCAAAUAUUUACCGUAUUUUAUUUUACCAUUUUAUAAGUAUAAUCAUAUGUAAUAUCAUGAUAGAGUAUGUUAUAAAUUCUGUGAUGAUCAUACAGUGCUUAGUUCGUUCUUCUUCAUAUUUGUUACAUUCUGGUUAGUAGUUGUGUUCUUUAAUGCCUCAUUAGGAACUAUGAGGUAAGGUUUAGCGUAGUAUGUGCUUGCUCAUGUCCUACGCCUUUGGAAUAUAUCCAUACGGCUAUGAGAUCAUUCACCCUCAUGAGGCUAUGCUAGCAGCCUAUGAGGCUACGUCAAAGGACAUUGGAGGCGCAGAUGGAUGAUUAUAUAGUAAAGUCAUAGUGGCAAGACUACUGCUGCUUUUGUCGCCCUUACUUGUACUCUUCCUUUGUGAUUUUUCUGUUUAAUAUUAAUAUAAAAACUACUAGGAAUCAUGCCUGGUGGUCUAUUUGCUAACAAAAAAAAUAUUGAAAAGGAAGGGCUUACCCUAUUUGUGCUUCAGACUGAAAUCUUCCAUCCUCUCCUAUGUACAAUUCCACCCUUUCUCUUACUUAAUCAAAUUAAAGAAUGCCAUAUACUCUCAUUGCCCUCCUCUUUCUCCUCAACUCCUUGCUAUGAGUGAUCAAUUUUGAAUGAUUGUACUGAAUAUCAACGUGGGGGCCCUUGUGGAUAAAUCAAAAUUUGGGGAUAUAAAUUAGAGAGUAGGAGUAAAGAAAAAGGGUUGGACAGUUGUAUCAAUUUGCUUAAAUUUCAUCCUACUGAGUGUGAAGGACUGGCCUGAGAACGUUUUGUUUGUGCAUGAUAGGUAGUUUUCUAUAAGCCCGUGUGUGGUUGAAUUUGCGACCGCAGAAACAUUUUGCGUAUCGCAAAAUAGUCACAGAGAAAGGCAGAUAAAAGGAUAUAUCUGAAGAACAACAUGCAACCGAUAUGCGGUCGCAUAAGUUGUUAUGCGGCCACUUCUGCAUACCACAUAAUUUGUUUUGCUUCUGAGGGUUGUAUUAUGUGAUAGGUUUUGCGGAUCGCAGAGUUGUUAUGCGAUCGCAUAACUGGUCGCAGAAACAUCUUUGUUUUUAAAUUCCUUAUAAUAUGUUACCCAUGCCUUAUCACUUACUCACUCUUUAUUAAUUGACAGGAAUGGAACCAAAGAAAGUUCGAGCAUCGCGACAACCCACCAAUCAAGGAAAGAGACAUGCUGCUGCUAUAAGCCCACAAUCACAACAAUCCCAAUGCAAGCGGCCUGACUCAUCCAGAACUUUAUCUGCGUAUUCCUCCCAGUAUGAAGAGGAGGAGGCACAACUUGCUCUUAUGCCACCAGUUGACCUCCAUGCCGAAGCAUGCCGAAAGAUGGGUGAGGAUCUCAGGUUUGGGAUCUCCGGCUCUUGGACUUUGUACCUAGAUGGCCUGACAAAGAGAAAGAUCCUCGAAGAAAAGAAGCUAGGCUUGAACGGGUUAAAAUAACACUACCCCCAUGUGCUAGAAAACAUCAAAACAAGAGGAUGGGAGUUCUUCACUCAUGUUCCGGGGGAGUACAAUGAGACACUCAUUAGGGAAUUCUAUGCUUCAUAUGCUGCAUCCAGGAACGCUGAACAGGAGAGAAACCAUAGGUUUUUGGCAUCCGUCUUAGUUUGAGGGGUUGAAAUAUUCUGUGAUGCCUCCUCAAUCACUGAUAUAUAUUAUGAAGCAUGGGAAACAGGCACUUCAGAAUUUAACGCAAGAUUGCAAAUAAGUAAUCCGAGCGUGCUUGGGUAGCCUCUUUCAUAUCCAAGGGAACUCCGUCCUUGAUCGCGCCGCGCCAGAAGAUUCACAUAGGGAUCUUACACAAGAAGGCUAGUAUUGGCUCAGUUUGGUUUGUUCUCAUAUAAUGCCCUCCAGCAAUGAAACUGACCUAAGUAUCGAGAAGGCGAUCCUCAUUGCAUGCAUCAUGUUGGGUAUCAAGGUUAAUGUGGGAGAGCUUAUAUUCCGUGAGUUUAGGAUCCGGGCGAACCAGAAAGAAACCUCGCUUCUUUUUCCAUGCUUAAUCCAUGCUUUGUGUGAAGCUAGGGAAGUUCCUCCUUUACCCAAACAUGACCGUAUAGAAACAGCUGUUCAUGACUCUGACAUUACACGGAUCAAUGAUGCAUUAGAUAAAGUGAUUGAAGGUCCAUUAGAACAUUCAAUCACUCCUCUCCCAGCCUCUGCAACAUCUGCUACCUCAUCAGUGCCCGACACUUCAUCCGCGCCAGCAACAUCCACAUCCACUCCAAGACCAGCCACUGCAACACCACUUGUCUUACUGCCUGCACUUUCAAAGCUUGGGCUACUGGCACAACAUGCAAAUGCCAAAGUGGAUAAAUUGACAAAAGAACUUUCAUCUCUCUUCCGGUAAGAACUGGCCCCGAUCCAAACCUCAGUAAGUGCUCUUCAACAACAACAUCUAUCAUAUGAUAAUCGACUAAAGCGCUUGGAAGUGCGCCUUGAAAGGGUUUGAGAUAGGCAGCGAUGGGGACAUACCUCAACUAAAAAAGAAUGUAUCUGAGCUCAAGUCAGAACUGCAUAAGAUGCAGACACGGGAGUUUGAUUUGACCUCCAUUCUGCCGGUGGAAGGAGAGUAGGGCAUUGGAACCUCCCACAUACCAAGCCAUGAGUUUGAUUUUACAAACAUCAUGUCAGCUGAGGUAGCCCAUGGUACUGCGAUCUCACAAGCUCCGAGCUCCGUUUCACACACCAACGAUCCAGAAGCUGAGGAAUCUGGAGAGUCUGAUGAAGGAACUGAUGAAGAGGAAACUGAUGAGGAGAGGAUACUUGAGGGGGGUGAUAGUAAGAUGGACAAGAGAGGCAAACAAGUUGUUGGUUCUAUAUAUGCACUGGCUAAAGAGGAGGAAGAUGUGAAAAUAACCAUUGCACAGUCCCUUGCAUAUAUAGUCGCCAAAGCUACUACCAUGACCAUACAACAAUCAUUGGGUGAGGCUAGCAGCUCACAGGUCCAAGACCCAGCAACACAACUAUCCAGUCAGAUGUUCCACCUACUGCAUCUAUAGUGUCAGCCCCAAGGCCGCCUCGGAUGUUCCAACCUCCCCAAGUGCCUAGUACGCCCCAGGAAUUCCCAAAAACUUUACUCUUACUUUCUCAAUGCAUUGGGGACAAUACAUGCUCUUUCGUUGAGGGUGGGGUAGUAAAUAUUUCACAACUUGUAUAUAAAAUUUUAAUCUUAAAAUUGUAGAUUUGUAUAUAACAAUGAAUUCUCCUUAGUUUUUCUUCGCUGGGUUCUUUUCCACGGGUGUAAUAGUAGAACCAUGGCCACAAAACAUCUUGGACUUGUUUAGUGAUUUUGUUCUAGCUUCAAGCAUAUGAUAUGUUUUUGUUGAAUAAAGUGCACCCUUCAAAUUUUGUAAAUAAAUGGUUAGUCAGUCUCGUGAAAUCGAGGCUCACUUUUUGACUUUGUGCCUACUUAGAAUCUCAAAUAUCAUGUGAAGAAGCUUUGAGUUGCCUUGUAUUCACUUGAGGGCUAAAAUUAUGCCGAGUCGAAUAGUUCAUGCGUUGUGAGUGAGUUAGAAGUUGUGUAAAUAUUGCACUGCUUAACUUGUAAUCUAUAGAACUUGCCCCGUUGGUUUCUCAAAGCAAUUCUCAGGUUGAUGAUUGGGCGUUGAAAUGAUCUUAGGCUCUCUUUAUGAUUGAUAACUAAUUUUUGACCAAAUAACCUCCUUGGUACAUCUAUUGUCCUAGUUACCCCCCCUGUUGAGCCUUUAACCUUUUAUUUGGCUACUACAUUAUAAACCUUUACCCCUUUGUGAAAUAAGUUCCCUUUGAACCCGUCCUUCCUUGAACGAGUAAGAAUAAGGCUAAAAGCCUAUGUUGGGGGUGUUGGUGUUAAUUGAAAAUUGGUAAAGUUGUACAUUGUGUGUAGAAUAAAAGACCUCAUAGUUGUGUAUAUGAAGAUAAUCAAAAAAAAAAGAAAAAAAAAUGUUGGUGUGGAGUCUUAUGAAAACUAAAGAAAUACGUUGAGGUAGUUCUAUGUCGGUAACUAGAGGUCAAUUAGGGCUAUGCGGUAAAAAGCAAAGUGUAUGUAGAGUUCAAGGAGGGUACAACCACUACAUUCCCAAAUAUUCGUCCAACCCGUCCCGAAGCCUACAUUACAAACCAUGAAAAGUCCUUGGUAAUCUACAACCAAUUAUUCCUAAGAUAACAAUGAUUUAAAAUAAGGGCAAGCAUAUGGACUGAUAUUUGUAGCGUUUAGGCUCCUUUCCGAGUGCAAGAGCGUUUGAUUGUAUCCCCUGUACAUAUUUGUUGAGUUGGGGAUUUUCUUUGAUGUGAGCACGCAUGAAUUGCAAGAAUUAGCAGAAAUUAAGCCUUUUGAGGUAGGAUACAAAUGCAUAUCUAGCUAUGAGUAGCACUCUGUCAUUUUUCUAGAGGCUCAAAAGUUCACUAAAUGAUUAGUCGAACUGUACUUGAUCUUUGUCCUUGAAGAAGGGUGAGAGUUGUGGUUACAUGCUUGUUAGCUAACGGUGAGCAUCAUCCAUAGUCAUUGCUACUUUGCAAUGCAUUUAGUCAGUUCAGUUGAUAUUAUGUUAUAUUUUUGUUUGUUUGUUUGUUUGUCUCUCUUCUAUUGUAGUUGUGUUUAUUUGUUUGUUGCUUGAGGGCAAGCAAAAGUCUAAGUUGGGGGUGUUGAUGUGCCGUAGAAUUGCGGCACUUUUGAUACUAAUUACAUAGACUCUAGCUCGUCUUUUGAAGCAUUUUAAGUUAUUUUGUUAUGUAGUUUUGAUGUUUUGUAGCAAACUAGGCUUGAAGAACCAAGAACAAGGAAAGGGGAACAAAAAAACCAUAGAAUGCCAGAAAUGUUGCAGGUCUGUGACCGCACAACUGAUGUGCGGGCCGCAUACCAACCGCAGAGUGAAGCAUAUUUUCUCAGUUAUGAGAGUGGAUUGUGUGAUCUAUUGUGCGGUCGCAUAAUGCUUAUGCGGACCAAAUAAUGACCAUACAAGUGCAAAGAGAGUUUUUGCGAGAACAAGUCUGCGACAUCAAAUGCGAUCGCGAAAUAAAUAUGCGGACCAUAUAACAGAAAUGCGAUGAACAAUUGGGCAACUUGACAUUCAAUUAUGCAAUGGAGUUGCAGUUAUGCAGGCCGCGAAAGUGUUCUGCGACCUAUUCUGCGAUCGCAGAUGUGAUCCGUAGGGGUAUAUUUGUCAUAUUUUGACCCCGACUUUUAGCCUAUUAUAUAUAGAAUAACUAGGGUUUUUGAGGGACAACUACUUUGAUAGAGAGAGGCUACGCUUAGGACAUUGAAUGCACCAUUAUUUUGGAAGCAUGGGAGAUAAAAUCCAAGACUUUGUCUAUAAUUGUAAGCUUCAUGACUUUAUUUAUUACAUUGCUGUUGUAUUCUAGUAUGAGUAGAUAAGUUUAAAUAUAAAGGUUGUGAAUCCUAUAUGGGUGUAAUGUUAAUGUGUGUUCAUCAUUGAAUGUUUAUAUAAUGGAAAGUUGAUUUCUAUUCAUUUCUCAUGCGUCAUUUGUAGUUGAUGGUUGCAAAUAUUGACUAGUGCCAAUUCAUUCUAUCUUUACUUGGGAAAGUGGGUUAGAAUUUGGUAGAUUUGAAUAGCAAGAACUCAAGGCUCUAAACCCUAUUUAAUAGAAUCUCUUAGGAAUAAGUGGAUUCUAUUUUGCAUAAAUUGGUCGUUCUUAAUUAUCACUUAUUUUAUAUUUGGGAAAAUCAUAAAGAGAAACUACUAUCUAAUUGUUGGAAAAUAUUAGUUAGUAACCUAGAAAUCAUUUGCAUAUCAACGAGCUUCCCAUUUAACAAUAUGAAAUAUGGAUACCGUUAGCAUUGCAUUCCAUUGAUGGAGACACAAUCUUGGUUUCUUAAUCAAUUUUAUCAAAUUAUAUCAAUGAAAUAUCUUGUAUUGAUAAAUCUCAAUUACAACACUCUCUUUUUAAGCUAACGGAGUAGGAUUACGACUUAAGUCAAGUUUUACACUACUCAAGUAACCUUUUCACACCUAUUCCCUGUGAGAUUCAAACCCAACCUAGUUGGGUUACUAUAUUUGACAUCGGUCGCUUUAUACUAUUUAUUUAGGUGUAAUUUGAGCGUAUCUGCAUCUAGUUGGAAAGUACGUGCUUGGGAAGAUUUAAUUGGUUACGUAAUCGUAGCGAUCGUGGUAGGGGUAUGAAAGGGUGUUCAUUUGAGGAUAGUUUACUGUCCUAGAGUCUAUGUGUUUGUAUGGGACUUCAAUUCAGUGAAAGGUACAUAUUUUCAUUCAAGGCACUUAAGGAAAUGGGCCCGACUAUCACGAGGAUGGACAUGCACUAAUUAGGUGAUUUGAGGCAUCUUACGAUAGGAGUUGUACGAGCUAUGAAGGUUGAUAUUGCGGAUCAUCAGAUGAUAUGUCCUAUGGCUUUGCGCCAAGUAGGGGAGUCUACUAUCGACGAUCGGAUUGCAUGGUCAUGUGAUAUAUCAGUCUUGGUCUGAGGUAUAUAUGUGGUAUUGAAUGGUUCCCCGAAAUUUGUAUAUGGUUAAGGACUGAUAUUUGCAUGGGAUAAUGUUGGGACUUGUUGUAUUUUUGUGUCAUUAAUAAUUCUACAUUUUAGUAUCAGAGAGGUUAUUGAAACAACUUCGGAUUCACAAAAAGGUUUCUUCAGAGUGGACAUCUCGGUUGCAACAUUAUAGGGUGCUUCAGAGGAAAUAAAGUGGCUUAUGGGAUUCUAGGCCACGUGGUUCGUGCUAGGAUCUUCUGCAUCGAGAUUUGAUUUUGGGAUCAUUAUGUACCGACAAGAAGAAGUGUUACCCUUAAGAAAGGUCAAGGAGGAUCCGAAGGAAUGGGUCAGUUCGGUGGUGUUGGGCCAGCAUAGCAAGAAAGGUAAUUUGUCCUUUUUGGGUGGUAAUUCUUUAUCGGUAUUUGUGGCAGUACUAUUGGGUUUGACGGUUUGCAUGACUUGAAUGAGUUGGGAAAGUUCAGUCAUAGAUGGCAUGGGCGAUUUCAAAAGUUAAAGGAGUAUUGGAUGGAUAUCACAGAAGAAGAGAUUGCAUUUUUGGAGGCACCUUAUGUUUUGAAUUGCGGAUGUUUGACUAGUGUUACGGUGAUCGCCUGGUUUUAGGCUUCUGAAGUUCAGGUUUUGUUGCAUGGCAUGGCAGAUCUAUGUGGGUGUUUUUCGUAAGAUGAUGGAGUGUGAGUGAAAUACCAUCCAUUUGAGUAGCGGGAUUGAGAUCGGGUAUGGAUACUGGUAUUCAUGAGGUUUUGGGACUGGAUGUCCACGUAGGUAGACUAUUCCUUGAUUGUGGAUUGUGAAGAAAUGUUGAGAAUAGGAUAACUGAUGGCAUACAUUAUGGAUAGGUUUUUAUGAACUUUGGGAAGGUUAUUUAUCUGUUUGGGAAUAACCGGAGUUGGUUUGGGGGUUAUUUGAAAGCCUAAUGAGAAUGUGUAUUCUAUAUCAGAUAAGGUUUUUUUACUCUUACGCAAUUUCUAUCGUGGGUAUAUUAUCGGGCAGAAUGGAUGUUAUUCAUGCCCCAGUCUAUGCUAUGUGCUUCUCUGUUAUGCUUUGAUGGGUUGUGAGGUUAUAUAAUUAUUUUCACGCAUGUUGUAAUCCCAUUCAGGCCUUAUGGUGAUAUGGGUGGGAUGGCCCUCGUGAUGUUUAUUUGUUUAUUGCACCUUAGUUGUUCUUGCUUUUCUCCAUAUUGUAUUAUUCCCAUUCAUCUUUCCACUGUUAUAUUUGUGCUCUCUAGUGUGCUUGAUACUGGGAUACAUGUGAUUAGUGAUCCCAAGCAUUUUGGCUCGAUGGGUGUCCCUAUAUAGAUUGAUAUAUUUUGGAUCGGAUUGCGCGCCGCAACGGAUGCUAUGUGGGAUACUUUCCUUGUGGUUAUUUGAUGUUUUAUUUUCCCUCUGUGGGAUGAGUUAAUGAAAUUGCACUUUUAUUAUUAUAUUUGUUGUACUUGUUAGAUAGUUUUUGUACCUUGCUUUCUUUCUAUUGUUAGAUACUUUCUUUCUGAGUUAUUUCUUGUUUGGUGUAUGGACCAUGUUGUGUGAGAUUCUAUGUGGUUUUGGUGUGACUUAUCAGUGGGCUACUUGUAUGUGUUCAGAUGAGGUUUCUAGACCUGAGAGUUGCACUAUUGUAUUGGGAUGAGGAGUAUUUGAUUGAAUGAUACCCUAUUUCCGCUAAGAAUUGAGCAAUGAGCCUUGUCGAAUGAGAGAACUUCUUGACUAUUGAUUUUGUAGGUGAUUAUGAGUUUUCGCAUGUUUAUUUUAUCACUACCAGCAUCACGGAGGUCUAGAAUGAGGUUUUAUUUUGCAUGAAGUGUAUUACCGGUACCGAGAUUACUAUUUGGCCGAUCUGGUGGUCGGAAGUUGCUACUAUGGAUAGCUGAGGUAUGUUAAAUAUCAGGUGAUUAUACCUUGAGUUGAGGUUGUUACUUGGUCUAAGUUGUCCACGCUUACAUACGGUAUUGAUGCGAGAUUCGAGGCUUAUGAUGAGUUUCAGAAGUUGAGGAUUAGGCUCAAAGGUUUAUAGACUAAGGAUGAGGUGAGAUCUUUAGUUAAAUUGUGUUGUCAGUCUUACAUGGAUUGGGGUGAUGUUCGAUCAUCCCCGGGUGUAUGUAUGGUGAGCUCGUGCAGUGAUUUGAUAGCUUUGGAACGACUCCUGGCACGUUCGAGGACGAAUGUAUGUUUAAGUGGGGGAGGAUGUAACGACCCGACUGGUCGUUUUGAGUAUUUGCAUUCAGUUCGGCGGUUUGAGGUCACAAAUAGCUUCACAUGGUGUAUUAUGACUUACGUGCAACGUCGACUUUGGUUUUUGAGUGGUUCGGAAUUGAUUUUGUAUGAUGACCCUCACUUGAGAAGUUUGAAGUUGAAAGAGUUAACCAAGUUUGACUUUGUAUAUUUGACCCCGAAUCGGAGUUUGGAUGGUCUUGAUAGGUCCGGAUGGUGAUUUUGGACUUGGGAGUAUGCCCGGAGUUGCAUUUGAAUGUUUCUAGAAGGUAUAGGCACCAUUUGGCGGAAGUUGGCAAUUGAAAUAUUUGGAAUUUUUUGUAGUUUGAACAUGGUUUAACUUUAAGGAUAUCGAGUUCGGAUUUUGGUUUUGGGACUUGGAAUAGGUCUGUUUCGUCAUUUGGAACUUGUCUACAAAAUUUGGUGUCGUUUGGAGUUGGUUUGAUGUGGUUUGGACGCUUGGUUGCAAUUCUAGAAGUUCUUAAAGUUCAUUGUGAUUUCAAUGCGUUUUGGUGUCCGAUUCAUGAUUGAUGGUAUUUAGAUGUUUUAAUUGAGAGCGAGUUCAUAUUAUGUUUAUAGACUUGUGUGGAUAUUUGGUUUGGAGCCCCAAUGGCUCAAAUGCGUUUUGAACGUGUUCGAGGGGGGUUAGGGAGGGACCUCCCUUUUGCGAGGAAAUCAUCACUUUUGCGAAGUUGACUGAGGCCUGCAAAGUUUGCAUUUGCAUUGAAGGCCUGGGCUGGGGAAGAGUCCCUUAUGACUUCUAGUGUAGAUUCGUUAUUGCGGUUGGUUUUGUGAUACGCCGUAGUAGGUUGUAGUUAUUUGUGUAAUGCCUAUUUUAUGGGGAUCGGGUUGCAUGCUGCAACAAUAUUGAAAUGAUAUAAAAAUAUAUGAUAUGGAGCGAUAAGGACGAUGACAUGAUAUAGGUGAGAUCGGGUUGCACGCCGCAACAAAUAUUAUUAUUAUUGUUUGGAAUCAGGUUGCACGCCGCAACAGAUUGAUAUAUUGUAAUUGUUGUGACAGUAAAUUUAUCCUGAAUUGUUAUUCUCAUGGUGUGUUCUAUGUUGGAAUGGUUUAUCAGUUGGACGAUUUUAUUUUUUCCCUUAAAUCAUUUAAUUGGUAUUUGAUCAUUUAAUUUCUUGUGUUACUCUAAUGUGCCAUUAUGUGCCUCCAUUAUUACUUGGUAAAUUGAAUGUCAAGGUGAAUUAUAUGGUCAUUAUCUCAUAUUCUGUUGAGUUGUUGGUAACAUAAUGGUUUAAAAUAAAAGAAUUAUUAACAUGUCUUAUUCUAUGUGUCUCUUAAGAUAGAACUCGUUAUAUCACUCAGUUCCUUAAUAGUUUUAAAUGGAUAUCACAUUUGCACUUUAAUUGGGUUCUCAAAUUUUAUUCAUCACCCUAUUGAUGUUUACUUUACUUAAAACAGUUAUCACAUUUUAUUUCUAACAAAUCCUAAAUUUAGCUUGUUAAUUUAACUGAGGUUUUAUUUUGUUUAAAUAUGAUAUUUUUACUUUAUCUUAUUAAUUUCUAAACUAAACCCAUCUGAUACUCUAUUUGCAUGACCUUUCCUUUAUUCUACUUUAUUUGAAUCCUAAAAUAAACAUAUUAUCUCAUUUGACACCUCUUUUUAUUCAAGAUUGUUAUUAUGCUUUAUUGUGUUUUAAUAUAUCUCUCGAUCAUCUUAACUGAUAUUGAUACAUAUGCGAUGUACAUGGUAGCACGAGGACUUUGCCGUGCGAAGGUGAUUGUUAUUGUGAGCACGAGGUGCCAACGUGAAAGAUUUGAAAAUGUGGAUAACGGUUUGUGAUUUCGAGGAGUGGUACAUCAGGGUAAAACUUGUUGCAAGUCCAUGCAUUGAGAACAAUUUAAUUAAUUAAGUUUUUAUCUUUAACUUAUUGAGUUCGUUCAUAUCCCAUCGUUGUUGUGAUUAUGCUGCUGUUCUAUUACCCGUCUACUUCUUUCUAGCAUUUGAGUUUCCAUUAUCUUCGUCGUUGGUUGUAAAUUAUAAUCCUUCCAUUGUUAGUCCUACAUGUAUGUUCUUUCCAUUGUUAAUUUUGUGUUACAUCUUGUAUAGGUUUCUAUGUUUAGUAGGUGUCUUGACCUGGCCUCGACACUACUCCACCGAGGUUAUGCUUGAAACUUUUGGGUACCAUUGUGGUGUACUCAUGCUACGCUCCUGCACCAUUUUGUGUAGAUUCAUGUACUUUUGAUCGUGUUAUUGAGAGUUGUGUCUGCGCGGAUGAAGACUUCAAGGUACACCUGCUUGACGUUCGAAGGCCUCAGAGUCACCCUCAGUUAUCUUCGCAUUACUGUUUAUCCUUUUAUAAGACAAUGUUGUAUUAGAGGUUUUAGUACGUUUCUGUAGAGCUUACGACUCACUUUCACCGUGUUUUGGGAAUGUUAACUAGGUAUCAUAUUUUUAGUCGUUAUUUCUAUAAUAUUUCCUUGUUGAUUAGGCUUACCUAGACUUAGAGGCUAGGUGCCAUCACGGCAUCUUAUGGUGAGAAAAAUGGGAUCGUGACAUGGACCCCGAGAUAUACUUGUGCCAGUGAGGGGCGCCUCAACCACAAAACCAGGCUCACACCAAAAUACCCUUGAACUUUGACCAUUACUCUUCCUCAAAGGUUUGAGCUCAAACAAAUGUUAAUUCACCAACUCAACCAACAUAUAACAUGAAAGGUAGAAGGUUCAUCAAAUAACCUUUCAAAGGUUCAGCAAUUCAAAAACACCAACUUGAAAUCAAACAACCUUGUUAAGAAUUGAAGCCAUCAUUAGAGUGCCAAACCAUAAGAAACUAAGGACUUAACACAAUAUGGACCUUGAAUAUAAGAAUAGGUCAUUGUAACUGGAUCAUUAAAGGUUUGAUGGUAACAAAAGGCCUUGAUAGGUCACAAAGCAAAGAAGGUUGGUUGUAUGCUGACAGUACAUAGGUUCUAUUUCUUACAACUUCAAGUUUAAGAAUGCCUUAUUGAGUAGUCUAAAGUAUAAGUAAGUGACAAUGAUGGGCAUAUGCACUUGUUUUAUUAUUUUCAAUAAAGGUGCAACACUUUAGAACCUUCUUAAAUACGUUCAGAUCACUAGAGCAAGUAACAGACAUCUUAACAAUUUUUGGAACAGUUGUGAGCAAAUAUGCAUAUAAUAACCUCUCUUCAUUAAACACUUAUGCUAAUGACCUCACUCAGAAUUCAAAGGGGGUAUACGAAUCAGCUGGGAUAACAUGGAUAUUAACAUGACUAGGAAGGCUAGCUUUAGUCUUUAUUUAAACCUAAUGGCCGUGGUAUUUAGUCAUGACAAUGCACACAGUCUAUUAGGUUUCAAAUUACCAGAACCAAACAAUACUCAGAUUCAUUAGUGAGUACUCCCUAAUCAGUGUUGUCAAACAGUUAUGAAAUAAAAAGUAGAGAUGUUCUUUUUUAGUUGGUCAAAGCAGGGUAAGUAGAUCACAUCAAGUGACCAUUUAGACAUGUAAGCAAGUUUAUCAAUAAGUCAUGACAACAAAUCUCCCCACAAGAUUUUAUUUUAUACAAGUUGUCAUGAUAGACACACAUGAAUCAUUUUAUCAUAACUGUGCAAUACAUCACAUUAUCAUAAACAAGAUGUCAGUUAGAGUCAUUUAGGUAAACAAAUAAACAUUAGAAUAUGAGCAUAAUCAUCAAUAAGAACCAGUCAAUAGACUAGACCAAAAUAUCAUGACAUUAAAGGUUGAGACAAACAUAAUGAUGCAUGCAUAAGGGUCUUAGCUAGUUAACAUAAUGAUUUAAGCAUGAAAUUUUCUUAACUAAUGGCAUGUAAAACUUUACGAACAUUACUUGAUUAGAAAAAAUCAUGAUAAAUAUAGGCACAAACAUAAAAAUCAAUAAGUGCCAUUCAAUAAAUACAACAGUGUAGGUUGCACAUAACUACUAUCAUAGAAUUCAGACAGUCACGAGGAAUUAAUAGAUUGUUUAUAAAGACAACAAUAAGGCGUCAUUUCAGUUAUUUAAGCAUGAUCAAACGAUUCAACGAUCAUCAUGAAAUAUUUAUUUGACAACAACACAUGGAUAAACACAAUCUUCAGCAAACAUCAUUAAUAUAAACAAGAGUAACACAAGAGCAUAAUACAAUAAGAAGGUUGCAUGUGUACAGAUGAACACCAUGAAGAGGAGAAUAUCAAAUAAUAACAGAAAAAUAUCAGAACAAAGAGCUACAUAAUUAAUUGAAAGAAUGAAAGAGAGGAGUCAGUGUUCACUGACCUUCUUCAGAGAAGCAAACCCAAUAAGGAUGAUUUGUAGCCAUUUAAGAAUCCAACCUCACAACCAACUUACAAUAAUCAAACUCGAACAAGAAGAAAAGUGAAAGAGAUUAGAGAAGAACUUCGGAAUACUUAGAUCAACAGAAAAUUCUUAAGUCUUAGUGUGUGUUAUGUGUUCUUUCAAUGCCUUUUUCGUGAUUUUUCAGUGUUUGGUGAGAGCAUUAAAAGCUCUAGUUAUAGUAGUAUUGAAGCCUUAGGGCUUCAUUUGAAUUCAAAGGGAUAGUGGGGGAUGACGAGUGAUGAGUGACUGAUGAUGAUAUCAAAAGGGGGGAAAACAGAAGGAGAACAAAUCGGAAAUCAGGAUGGAGCU
rnacentral:lncRNA from 1 species